CUACGGGACGCAGCAGUGAGGAAUAUUGCACAAUGGGGGGAACCCUGAUGCAGCAACGCCGCGUGGAGGAUGACGCAUUUCGGUGUGUAAACUCCUUUUAUAUGUCAAGAAAAUGACGGUAGCAUAUGAAUAAGCACCGGCUAACUCCGUGCCAGCGGAGCCGCGGUAAUACGGAGGGUGCAAGCGUUACUCGGAAUCACUGGGCGUAAAGGACGCGUAGGCGGGUUGGAAAGUCAGGUGUGAAAUCCUACAGCUUAACUGUAGAACUGCACUUGAAACUUCUAAUCUAGAGUAUGGGAGGGGGAGAUGGAAUUAGUGGUGUAGGGGUAAAAUCCGUAGAUAUCACUAGGAAUACCUAAAGCGAAGGCGAUCUCCUGGAACAUUACUGACGCUAAGGCGUGAAAGCGUGGGGAGCAAACAGGAUUAGAUACCCGCGUAGUC
rnacentral:rRNA from 1 species